rnacentral:rRNA from 1 species
UACGUAGGUGGCAAGCGUUGUCCGGAUUUAUUGGGUUUAAAGGGUGCGUAGGCGGUUCCAUAAGUCAGUGGUGAAAUACAAUAGCUUAACUAUUGAGGUGCCAUUGAUACUGCGGAACUUGAGUACAGACGAGGUAGGCGGAAUUGACGGUGUAGCGGUGAAAUGCUUAGAUAUCGUCAAGAACACCGAUAGCGAAGGCAGCUUACUAGACUGUAACUGACGCUGAGGCACGAAAGUGUGGGGAGCAAAACGG